AUUGAACGCUGGCGGCAGGCCUAACACAUGCAAGUCGAGCGAGCGGCGGACGGGUGAGUCAUGUAUGGGGACUGCCCGAUAGAGGGGGAUAACUACUGGACACGGUGGCUAAUACAGCAUACUAUCGGAUAACCCAUAUGGGAUUAGCUAGUAGGUUGGUAAAAGGCUCACAUAGGCGACGAUCUCUAGCUGGUCUUAGAGGAUGAUCAGCCAUACAGUGACUUAGACACGGCCCAGACUCCUACGGAGUCAGCAGUGGGGAAUAUGGCACAAUGGGCGCAAGCCUGAUGCAGCCAUGCCGCGUGUAUGAAGAAGGCCUUAAGGUGGUAAAGUACUUUCAGCGGGGAGGCGUUACCCGCUGAAGAAGCACCGGCUAACUCCGUGCCAGCAGCCGCGGUAAUUG
rnacentral:rRNA from 1 species